GACGAACGCUGGCGGCGUGCUUAACACAUGCAAGUCGAACGGAAAGGCCCUGCUUUUGUGGGGUGCUCGAGUGGCGAACGGGUGAGUAACACGUGAGUAACCUGCCCUUGACUUUGGGAUAACUUCAGGAAACUGGGGCUAAUACCGGAUAGGAGCUCCUGCUGCAUGGUGGGGGUUGGAAAGUUUCGGCGGUUGGGGAUGGACUCGCGGCUUAUCAGCUUGUUGGUGGGGUAGUGGCUUACCAAGGCUUUGACGGGUAGCCGGCCUGAGAGGGUGACCGGGCACCAUUGGGACGGAGAACGGCCCCGACCUCCUCGGGGGGGAAGCGGGGGGAAAUUUUGAAAAGGGGGGGGAGGCGUGAGGCGGAACCGCCGGGGGGGGAAGGAGGCCUUGGGGGUGGAAACCCGUUUUCGCUGGGGAGGAGGGGUGGUGGAGGGAAGGGGGAAAAAAACACCGGCCAAACUACG
rnacentral:rRNA from 1 species